AUAAGUAAUAAUAUGAAUUUUCUUAAUGUAUAUAUAUGUGAAUAUUAUUAUAUUAUAUUUCUUUAUAUAUAAAAAGAAGUUUUAUAUUUAUUGAGUAUUUCUAUAAUAAUAUAUAUAUAUAUAUAUAUAUUUAUUAUUUUGUUUAUUAAUACAUUUUAAAACUCAUAAGUUAUAACAACCACUUUUAAACUAUAAUGUAUUUAAUAAAAUAUUUUAUAUUUAAUGAAAUAUACAUUAUGGUUUAAAAGCAUGUUAAAAAUAUUUAAUCAUUGUUAUAUAUUUUAUAAUAAUGAAAAAUAUUUUUUUCAUGUAAUUUUCUUUUCUUUACAUAAAUAUAAAAUUUUUAUAAUUAUGUAAAAGAAAAGAAAGAAUAUAAUAUUAUCAAAGUAUAUA
rnacentral:rRNA from 1 species